rnacentral:rRNA from 1 species
CGGGACACGUGGUAUCCUGUCUGAAUAUGGGGGGACCAUCCUCCAAGGCUAAAUACUCCUGACUGACCGAUAGUGAACCAGUACCGUGAGGGAAAGGCGAAAAGAACCCCGGCGAGGGGAGUGAAAAAGAACCUGAAACCGUGUACGUACAAGCAGUGGGAGCCUCUUAAUGGGGUGACUGCGUACCUUUUGUAUAAUGGGUCAGCGACUUAUAUUCUGUAGCAAGGUUAACCGAAUAGGGGAGCCGAAGGGAAACCGAGUCUUAACUGGGCGUUAAGUUGCAGGGUAUAGACCCGAAACCCGGUGAUCUAGCCAUGGGCAGGUUGAAGGUUGGGUAACACUAACUGGAGGACCGAACCGACUAAUGUUGAAAAAUUAGCGGAUGACUUGUGGCUGGGGGUGAAAGGCCAAUCAAACCGGGAGAUAGCUGGUUCUCCCCGAAAGCUAUUUAGGUAGCGCCUCGUGAAUUCAUCUCCGGGGGUAGAGCACUGUUUCGGCAAGGGGGUCAUCCCGACUUACCAACCCGAUGCAAACUGCGAAUACCGGAGAAUGUUAUCACGGGAGACACACGGCGGGUGCUAACGUCCGUCGUGAAGAGGGAAACAACCCAGACCGCCAGCUAAGGUCCCAAAGUCAUGGUUAAGUGGGAAACGAUGUGGGAAGGCCCAGACAGCCAGGAUGUUGGCUUAGAAGCAGCCAUCAUUUAAAGAAAGCGUAAUAGCUCACUGGUCGAGUCGGCCUGCGCGGAAGAUGUAACGGGGCUAAACCAUGCACCGAAGCUGCGGCAGCGACACUAUGUGUUGUUGGGUAGGGGAGCG